GUCACUAGAAAGUCGCCAUGUUGGUUUUAACGGAUUUCCAGUGGGGGGCAGCUGAUUGGGGUGUUACACGUGAAAGUUAAUCGUAGCAGGAAGUUUAAAUAGUUCGUUUCGUUCAACUUGUAUGUGCGUUUGUGUUUCUUCGACAAUAAUAGCUAUUUGCUAUUAAGUGGCGAAUCAGAUAGUGAGUGCACUGGCAAGUUCAUCCUCGAGAUUUAACCUGGUUUGUCAACAGUGAGUCUCUGAGCGGCAGUUGGAACGCGUAGUGGUUCCUGGAUGUAAAGAGCUACCAUGCCAAUAAUGUUCCGGAGCGUUCGCGCGCGUGCAAACCCUAAUUAAUAAGACGCUUUUUUAAACACCUGAAGAUCAGGACGUUCUGACGGGACCUGUGAGGGGAUUCACACCACUAACUAGGUGAUAAAGGGCAUCACGUUGCAAUAACGUAUUGUUUGGUCCCCACUGAAUCAGGUGUGAACUUCGUUGGCUGGAUAGACACCGAAGCUGUUUCUCGGCGUUCGAUAAUUAUCAAAGGUACCAUGCUCCUUGAACUAUUGAGUAUAACAGCCCUGUCCUCUAAUGUGUCUAUUUCUACUAUCGUUUGAGU
rnacentral:lncRNA from 1 species